rnacentral:rRNA from 1 species
UACGUAGGGGCCUAGCGUUGUCCGGAUUUAUUGGGCGUAAAGAGCUCGUAGGCGGUUCGGUAAGUCAGGUGUGAAAUCUCCACGCUCAACGUGGAGGCGCCACCUGAAACUGCCGUGACUCGAGUCCGGUAGGGGAGUGUGGAAUUCCAGGUGUAGCGGUGAAAUGCGUAGAUAUCUGGAGGAAUACCGGUGGCGAAGGCGGCAUCCUGGACCGGCAUUGACGCUGAGGAGCGAAAGCUAGGGGAGCAAACGGG